GCAACAACAAUCAAUACCCAUUAUUAAAGGUGAAGGGGCAUUUGUCUUGUGCCUUGCUUUUAUCCUUUUUUUUCUCUCCGAUUAUCAUUUUUCUUCUUUCUUCCUUGGUGGAUUCUGGGGUUAUUAAGAUUUGGUGAUAUGUUUCCCUAGCAGAGAUUGAUUUUCUCUGGAACAGGGGAAUUUCUGAAGCUCGAUCCGAUUCGUUUUAUGGGUUUUUUUCGUUGAAUUUCUUCAACCCAUCUUCUGGGAAUUUCCCAAUUGUUUAAUCGAGGUUUUGGAGAUGGAGGAAGAGAAGGAUUCUGAGAAUCGUUUGACAUCGGCUGCUGCGUUUGUGGAAGGGGGGAUUCAAGAAGCUUGUGAUGAUGCUUGCAGCAUAUGCCUUGAGGAUUUUUGUGAAAGUGAUCCUUCUACGGUUACUGCUUGCAAGCAUGAGUUUCAUCUCCAAUGCAUCCUUGAGUGGUGCCAGAGAAGUUCUCAAUGUCCUAUGUGUUGGCAAUCUAUCAGCCUGAAGGACCCGACCAGUCAAGAGUUGUUGGAGGCGGUUGAACGAGAGAGGAAUAUAAGGGUCACUCCCGUGAGAAAUACUGCUGUGUUUCAUCAUCCAGCUAUUGGCAAUUUUGAGUUGCAACAUCUACCACUGGGUGUUACUAAUGCCGAGCUUGAAGAGAGAAUAAUCCAGCACCUGACUGCAGCUGCUGCAAUGGGGAGGGCACACCAUAUGGGUAGAAGAGAAGUGCAGAGGAGUCAAUCGUCAUCUCAUGGACGUCCUCACUUCUUGGUUUUCUCCACUCAUCCUGGUGGACCUUCGUCUGAGAAUGUCUCAGCCUCCGAAGGGGGCACUGAUCCAGCAGGGAUUACUAUGGCUAGCCCCUCUAGCCCACGGACACCUCGUGGGGAUGAACCAUCACAGCACAUUGCACAGUUUCAGUCCAUUCAGACUGACCAAAUUUCUCGCUCAGCAUCUGGAUCCAACUUUUCAGCCAAUCGGCGAGGAGCUUCAUCUAGUGUUCGAAUCUCCACUAGUGAUUCUCCAUCUUCAAAUCUGGAUAGAGCUGGGCCUUCUGAAUUUCAGUCAUUUUCUGAAUCUCUUAAAUCAAGACUUAAUGCAGCGUCCACAAGGUACAAAGAAUCAAUUUCGAAGAGUACAAGAGGAUGGAAGGAGCGGCUAUUCUCACGCAACUCUUCCAUGUCUGAACUUGGUUCCGAAGUUCGAAGAGAAGUAAAUGCAGGAAUUGCCAGUGUAUCACGCAUGAUGCAACGUCUUGAAACCAGAGAUGAUGGUGUUACAAAUCAAGAUUCUAAUGAGCCGGGUGGCCACGUUAGAAGAGAGAGCAGCCCAGAGAACUCUUUAAACGACAAAAGUGCUACAGCUUCUUGUGCUGCAACGUCUGCCGAGCGCUAAAUCAUUACGUAUUAAUUUUGGCAAAUGCAUCUGUCGUCAGCAUCUUAUUUCUUAAGCAGGUGAAACGAUAAAUAUUCUCCAGAGGUGAUAUGCUGAGGAACAGAUGCGUUUGCAGACAAAAAGGGUUGAAGAAUUUCACGUUGUUGAUUGUUGUCUGAACUGGAAGGAAAAAAAAAAAAA